GUAACAAGGUUUCCGUAGGUGAACCUGCGGAAGGAUCAUUACUGAAGAUAAUAGGGUCUUGAGACUGCGUCUCUGGCGUGUGCUCGUCCCUUACUCUUUCAUCCACAUACACCUUUGUGCACUAUGGGGGAUAUUAUCCCCCCUUUUUACAUUAAACACCGAGUUUAUAUGCAUGUCUUAUUAUUGCUCUACGGAGUAAAUGUAACAACUUUCAACAACGGAUCUCUUGGCUUUCGCAUCGAUGAAGAACGCAGCGAACGUGCGAAACGUAAUGUGAAUUGCAGAAUUCAGUGAAUCAUCGAAUCUUUGAACGCAUCUUGCGCUCCUUGGUAUUCCGAGGAGCAUGCCUGUUUGAGUGUCGUGAAAUACUCUCAAUUUCAAUCUUUUUUCUUGAAAUUGGACUUGGGUGUUGCUGUGCUUUUUUACAGCUCAUCCUAAAUGCAUUAGCGAUCUGCCUUUGAUCAACACACAAUGUGAUAAAUAAAAGCGUUGUUAAGAUCAAGUCAGGACCGCUUCUAAUCGUCCGAAAGGACACACUCUCAUGUCAUUGACCUCAGAUCAGGCAGGACUACCCGCUGAACUUAAGCA
rnacentral:rRNA from 1 species